UCCCGCCCAACGAAAAGCCGCCGGAAUGGUGGCCUGUCUGGCUUGUCCAGACUAGUUGGGCGGGUUUUC
rnacentral:sRNA from 1 species